CGACUUGGAGGUUGUUCCCUUGAGGAGUGGCUUCCGGAGCUAACGCGUUAAGUCGACCGCCUGGGGAGUACGGCCGCAAGGUUAAAACUCAAAUGAAUUGACGGGGGCCCGCACAAGCGGUGGAGCAUGUGGUUUAAUUCGAUGCAACGCGAAGAACCUUACCUACUCUUGACAUCCAGCGAACUUGGCAGAGAUGCCCUGGUGCCUUCGGGAACGCUGAGACAGGUGCUGCAUGGCUGUCGUCAGCUCGUGUUGUGAAAUGUUGGGUUAAGUCCCGCAACGAGCGCAACCCUUAUCCUUUGUUGCCAGCACGUCAUGGUGGGAACUCAAAGGAGACUGCCGGUGAUAAACCGGAGGAAGGUGGGGAUGACGUCAAGUCAUCAUGGCCCUUACGAGUAGGGCUACACACGUGCUACAAUGGCGCAUACAAAGAGAAGCGACCUCGCGAGAGCAAGCGGACCUCACAAAGUGCGUCGUAGUCCGGAUCGGAGUCUGCAACUCGACUCCGAGAAGUCGGAAUCGCUAGUAAUCGUGGAUCGGAAUGCCACGGUGAAUACGUUCCCGGGCCUUGUACACACCGCCCGUCACACCAUGGGAGUGGGUUGCAAAAGAAGUAGGUAGCUUAACCUUCGGGAGGGCGCUUACCACUUUGUGAUUCAUGACUGGGGUGAAGUCGUAACAAGGUACC
rnacentral:rRNA from 1 species